rnacentral:lncRNA from 1 species
AAAAUCCAAACUCACUACAAUUAACCAGUUGUCUAUACAGGGAGAAAUAAUAUUUAUUUCCUUUAAACUGAAAUAUGCUGUGACAGGAGCCACACACUUGGUAAAAAGUCUUGUUUCUAUUGAAAGUCCAAAUGGGAGUAUCUUGAACUCAUACAUUCAAUGACCCAAACCAAAGCAGAGGAAAUUAUGAAGGUUUGGUGCUAUGGCUAAUUGGAAAUAGGCAUCUUUGUACUGCAAACUAUUUCCCCUCUAUCAGUAGUGGGAGGAUGUUUGCUAGAGUCACCAUUUAAAUUUUUUUGUUGAUGAUCUAAGAGUUCACGUUCCUUAAGUCCAAUAUCAGACAUAAACUUCUGUCCUUCUUGGGUACUGUGAAAUAGCAGGAAUAGAAUCGGUUGUCCAUAUAUUUCAUUUAGGGCCCCUGCUAAAGUGUUCUCAAUUUCCUCAACAUUUGAUGGUUUUUUAAAAAAAUCAAAAUCCAUCAGUUGGUGGCAUUGUUUCAAAUUUGAUGGAAUAGCCAUGGGCUGUGAUGGUAAGUACCCAAUCACCCAUUAGUGAUUGAGCACCAGGUGUUCCAAUAAAGAAGAAUUGGAAGAUUGAGCAUUUAGAAAUUUUACAGUCUGUUGUUGUAUGCUGUCAAUCUUGUGUGCACUCAAAUAAAAAUUUGUUCUUUGUGUUCUUGUAACUCUUUUUUUAAGGAUUAUGUUACAGGCUUAAAUUUCUAUCUUGACUGUUGUUUAUAGAAAGUGGAGGAUUGUUAUGAAGAUGACCUUUCCAUUUCCACAGAAUACCUCCUUUUCUGAUUUCAUUACUAUGGAAAUUGCUGUGGAUUCAAAAGAACAGCAAGGGGAUACAGUACAAUACUGAGUUUUUAGCAUUAAAAAGAAGUGGUUGCAAAGAGUUACUCAAUGCACACAUGUACAUACACACAUGCACAACCAGUUAGUGGGAAAUUCACUGUUUGCUGAUCUUCCUAGAAUCUUGACUUCACCUGUACAGGUGCAAAUCCCAGU